rnacentral:rRNA from 1 species
UGGGGAAUAUUGGGCAAUGGGCGAAAGCCUUACCCAGCAAUGCCGCGUGAGUGAAGAAGGUCUUCGGAUUGUAAAGCUCUUUGAUCAGGGACGAACACAAUGACGGUACCUGAAGAACAAGCCCCGGCUAACUACGUGCCAGCAGCCGCGGUAAUACGUAGGGGCAAGCGUUGUCCGGAAUGACUGGGCGUAAAGGGUGUGUAGGCGGGCUCGCAAGUUGGAUGUGUAAAUACCCAGAGCUUAACUCGGGUGCUGCAUCUGAAACUACGAGUCUUGAGUGUCGGAGAGGUAAGUGGAAUUCCUAGUGUAGCGGUGGAAUGCGUAGAUAUUAGGAGGAACAUCAGUGGCGAAGGCGACUUACUGGACGAUAACUGACGCUGAGGCACGAAAGCGUGGGGAG